UGAUGGUUGCCAGAGGGAGGGGGUGGAGGAUGGGUUAAAUAGGUGAUGGCGAUUAAGGAGUGCAGUUGGGAUGAGUGCCAGGUGAUGUAUGGAAGUGAUGAAUCACUAUAUUGUACACCUGAAACUAAUAUAACACUGUGUGUUAACUGACUGGAAUUUAAAUAAAAACUUUU